GACAGAGGGGGCAAGCGUUGCUCGGAAUUACUGGGCGUAAAGGGUGCGUAGGCGGGUCUUUAAGUCAGAGGUGAAAUCCUGGAGCUCAACUCCAGAACUGCCUUUGAUACUGAGGAUCUUGAGUUCGGGAGAGGUGAGUGGAACUGCGAGUGUAGAGGUGAAAUUCGUAGAUAUUCGCAAGAACACCAGUGGCGAAGGCGGCUCACUGGCCCGAUACUGACGCUGAGGCACGAAAGCUGGGGGAGCAAACGGG
rnacentral:rRNA from 1 species